rnacentral:snoRNA from 1 species
AAACCAUGAUGAGGAUACUCUAAGAGAAAGUCUUUAAAAUGCUCCAUACAUCGAUAAAAUGAUUCAUUGGGACGCUGAUGAAACUGAAUAAUGUCGUUCCUAAGUUU